CAGGCUUAAUACAUGCAAGUCGAGGGGCAGCAUGGUCUUAGCUUGCUAAGACUGAUGGCGACCGGCGCACGGGUGAGUAACACGUAUCCAACCUGCCGUCUACUCUUGGACAGCCUUCUGAAAGGAAGAUUAAUACAAGAUGGCAUCAUGAGUCCGCAUGUUCACAUGAUUAAAGGUAUUCCGGUGGACGAUGGGGAUGCGUUCCAUUAGAUAGUAGGCGGGGUAACGGCCCACCUAGUCUUCGAUGGAUAGGGGUUCUGAGAGGAAGGUCCCCCACAUUGGAACUGAGACACGGUCCAAACUCCUACGGGAGGCAGCAGUGAGGAAUAUUGGUCAAUGGGCGAGAGCCUGAACCAGCCAAGUAGCGUGAAGGAUGACUGCCCUAUGGGUUGUAAACUUCUUUUAUAAAGGAAUAAAGUCGGGUAUGGAUACCCGUUUGCAUGUACUUUAUGAAUAAGGAUCGGCUAACUCCGUGCCAGCAGCCGCGGUAAUACGGAGGAUCCGAGCGUUAUCCGGAUUUAUUGGGUUUAAAGGGAGCGUAGAUGGAUGUUUAAGUCAGUUGUGAAAGUUUGCGGCUCAACCGUAAAAUUGCAGUUGAUACUGGAUAUCUUGAGUGCAGUUGAGGCAGGCGGAAUUCGUGGUGUAGCGGUGAAAUGCUUAGAUAUCACGAAGAACUCCGAUUGCGAAGGCAGCCUGCUAAGCUGCAACUGACAUUGAGGCUUGAAAGUGUGGGUAUCAAACAGGAUUAGAUACCCUGGUAGUCCACACGGUAAACGAUGAAUACUCGCUGUUUGCGAUAUACUGCAAGCGGCCAAGCGAAAGCGUUAAGUAUUCCACCUGGGGAGUACGCCGGCAACGGUGAAACUCAAAGGAAUUGACGGGGGCCCGCACAAGCGGAGGAACAUGUGGUUUAAUUCGAUGAUACGCGAGGAACCUUACCCGGGCUUAAAUUGCAGAUGAAUUACGGUGAAAGCCGUAAGCCGCAAGGCAUCUGUGAAGGUGCUGCAUGGUUGUCGUCAGCUCGUGCCGUGAGGUGUCGGCUUAAGUGCCAUAACGAGCGCAACCCUUGUUGUCAGUUACUAACAGGUUCCGCUGAGGACUCUGACAAGACUGCCAUCGUAAGAUGUGAGGAAGGUGGGGAUGACGUCAAAUCAGCACGGCCCUUACGUCCGGGGCUACACACGUGUUACAAUGGGGGGUACAGAGGGCCGCUACCACGCGAGUGGAUGCCAAUCCCAAAAACCUCUCUCAGUUCGGACUGGAGUCUGCAACCCGACUCCACGAAGCUGGAUUCGCUAGUAAUCGCGCAUCAGCCACGGCGCGGUGAAUACGUUCCCGGGCCUUGUACACACCGCCCGUCAAGCCAUGGGAGCCGGGGGUACCUGAAGUGCGUAACCGCGAGGAGCGCCCUAGGGUAAAACUGGUGACUGGGGCUAAGUCAUAAC
rnacentral:rRNA from 1 species